UAGUAGGUCUAAGCAACAUGCACCUGGAUAAUCGGGUCAUGAAUCUGGACGGGCUCCUACGUCCUCAUAUACACAUUAUGACAUAAUACAGAGUUCAAUGUUUAACGAAAUAAAGACAUAGAAGCAUAAUCAAUUAAACAGGUUCUACACAUUCCAUUUCUCCAUGGCAAUAGAAUGUAAACAUUCUAUUUUGCGCCAAACAUCGCCUACAACUCAAUUCUAAGUGCAGCAUAUUGGAGGACUCUGUGUUUUAUUUGAAGGGUGUGGAAGGAAACACUGGAGGAGGGAAACGACCUCGCUCGGCUGGUAAGAGAAUGAGAGUUAGAGACAUGCUACAAGUUAGUGAGCUCUUUACCAGCCUUUCAACAACGAGUUAGCACAGCAGGAUAGAUCUGUUGUGAAAUUACACUAAUGGGACUUCCUGUUUCAUACUGCAGGCCUGGGAAGUAAACACUUGCCUAAAAAUGAUGAACAUAGAGCACAAGGCUUUCUGCAAGCUCCGCCGCUCCAUGCACCCCACCUCGCCAGCUGACAUGUGAGUUCCAUGUACUGCCCCGCAUAUGACUUGAUCCAUUUAUCUACACAUCUGGAACUACGCAGAAACAGACUAAGAAAGUGUUCUAAGUGAGUACAUUGCACAUCGUUUAGCUUUGUUUUCUCCUUAUUGUUGAUUUCAGCGAUCCUAAGGUCCACAGCACCGUGGAAAGAGCUGUGAGGAGCAUUCUGGGCGAGCAGUCCAAUGAGCCCCGUAGCAACCUGCUCAGCCCAUCUCAGGUGGUGGUGGAGGUGGUGCCCAGGCUCCUCCUGGCCCUGUGGCUUCAGCCAGAGGAAGGCCAUUCAGAGCACCCAAGAGAGAGAGACUUAGAGAGCACUCUGACAGAGGAUGUUGCUGUGGUCAUCCCGGAUGUCACCCCACACGUCACCAAGGACGUGGCACUGGAAGUUCCAUGCAGAGCUAGGAAAGGGGCAGUCCGGCUAUUAUUUUGCAGGCUUUGGAGGGCAGUGUGCUGCUGCCCCUGCCACAAGGAAGAGGAGAAACAAUAUUAAUUAUUCAUCAGACCUUCAGAAAUGGGAUUGAACCAUAGACCAUUCAAUUAUUCGCAUUAUAAUUGGACUCAAUUCUGCUUUUCUUCUGUUUACUACUUAAUUUCAGAACAUUUCUAUAAACUUUCACUUUGCAAGUGUGGAGUAGGUUAUGUAAAUAAGUGAGAAACAUCACAAUUUUAA
rnacentral:lncRNA from 1 species